rnacentral:rRNA from 1 species
UACGUAGGGGGCGAGCGUUGUCCGGAAUCAUUGGGCGUAAAGCGCGUGUAGGCGGCUCGGUAAGUCUGCUGUGAAAGUCCAGGGCUCAACCCUGGAAUGCCGGUGGAAACUGUCGAGCUCGAGUCCGGAAGAGGUGAGUGGAAUUCCUGGUGUAGCGGUGAAAUGCGCAGAUAUCAGGAGGAACACCAAUGGCGAAGGCAGCUCACUGGGACGGUACUGACGCUGAGACGCGAAAGCGUGGGGAG